ensembl:lncRNA
CUUUCCUCCCUAUAUGAUCAUGACUGAUUUGAAUGUUCUUUUUUAUGCUCUCGUGGGCUAUGGGUUUAAGGGCAGCUGAAUAAAGUCAUCAUGAAGGAAGACAUGAAUAAGGAUACAGACAACACCCCAAUUGUCAUUGUCCUCCUCUUCAUAUGGAUCAUACUUGUUCUGGCUCUGCUGUACUUUUAUAAAAAACUUAAUGCAGACACAAAUGGACAGUACACCGUCCAGCGCAUUGUCUUCGCCCCUGGCGGCCUACGGGAUCGAUUGAGACAAGGAGUCGGGGUUGUGGAGAACAGACUUGGUGUCCACAUUUGGCCUCGACAGCGUGACGACGAGGAGAACAUAGGAGGUAAUGAUGAAGAGGACAAGGAGGGUGAAGGUCAUGACAAACAGAAUGACAGUUACACGGAGGAGGGAGAACAACAGGAAAAUGAUGACGGGGAUGAUUCUUCAGAUGACUAUUCCAGCGUUGACCUGAGGGAGAGGGCAAAGAUGCAGAUAAAGAAAGAAGAGAAGGAUAAAGGUGAGAAAGAAAAGGAGGAGAAGGAGGAGGCAGCAGCGGGAGAAGAGGAUAAAAGUCAAGAAGUGAAGAAUGAAGAGAAAGGGGAAUUGAUAGAUCUGACACCGUUUACUGGUAGUGCAAGUUGGUCUAAGGAAAACAAAGAUGGAAAUGAUGGAAAUGACUUGACUGCUUUAUGAAAAGCUCAGAGACAUUGCCUUUGAAUUUAAUAGGCGGGAAAUAAGGUGGCUUGGCCCAGUGGGUGGCACGAAACAUAUUUUUUUUUAUAACUAUGAGUCAGUUUAACCCUGUAAUUUUAACUAACAGUUUAUUGACAUCCCAUUAAAACAAAUGUUAAAAAGGUUUUCAUAUGUGUUUUGGCUGAUAUUUAUAUGGAAAAAAGUAUAGCUUGUAAUGUAAAUCAAUGAUAUGUUCAUAAGAAUAUGUCAGACUAUUUACAUAAAAUGUAUGUAAAUAUCUGUUUUCACUCUAAAUCUUCCAAUAAUAUGUCAUAGUAAGAUAGUAUUUAAAUGCUUAGUUUUAUGCUCCAAGCUCUGUAGUUUUUUAUUUUUUGGGAAAAACAGAUUUUUUUAUACAGUUAUUCUAAAGGACAUUUAUACUUGCUAAAAAAUGAUAAACUCUCAGUUGGACAACAGAAGGCCUGUAGUGGAUUGUACACAACAUUGUUUUUCAGGAAAAAAAAUUCUAAUGUUGAUACUUCUGAGGCCUUAGAAAUUUGUGUAUAAAAUAUGAAACAGUAGGGUUUAUAGGGUUAACUUUAAAAGUCAGUAAAACGGUUCCACACCAGUUUCCGUAAGUUGUUAGUUUAUGCACUUUCUGUUGGGUUUUUUUUUCUGCAAAUGCUGACUGUGUGAAAAUACAUUUUGAAACUUGUUAACAUUUUUAAGAGGUGUAAAUAUUUUUAUUAAAAAAUAUUUUCAUGUCAAUGUGGCUGUCAAAAUUGUCUAGUGUCUUCAUAUGACCUCACUGAUGGGUCAAUCUCACAAAACCCAUCAAGGACAUGUGUAGAGCAUAUCAAAUCAUGAGAAAUAAUAUUUUGUUAAAAGAAAACUAAGCCAAGGUCACAAAUGUGACAUGGACGUAACAUUUGCCAUUUAGGGCAUGGAACCGCCAACCACUUGGAGGCUGAAAACCAACCACAUCUCUUAUCAUGAUUGGUCAUCAACAGGGUUUCAUGGCAGUCAAGAUUAUGAUGAUGAUGAUGCAAAUUUGCUAACUAAGACACUGAUUUUUUAAAAAGGUUUUUAAAG